GAUGAACGCUGGCGGCGUGCCUAAUACAUGCAAGUCGAGCGAAGAGGCGAGGUGCUUGUUCCACCUGUGUUAGCGGCGAACGGGUGAGUAACACGUGGAUAAUCUACCUUUAAGAGUGGGACAACAUUUGGAAACGAAUGCUAAUACCGGAUAAAAACUUUAAACACAAGGUUUAAGAUUGAAAGAUGGAAUUGCUUCACACAAAAAUUAUCCCGCGUUGUAUUUGCUAGUUGGUUAGGUAAAGGCUUACCAAGGCGUAGAUGCAGGGCCGACCUGAGAGGUGGAUCGGCCACAUUGGAACGGGGACACGCCCCAGACCCCUACGGGAGGCAGCAGUAGGGAAUCUUCCGCAAUGGGCGAAAGCCUGACGGAGCAACGCCGGGUGAGUGAUGAAGUUCUUCGGAUCUUAAAACUCUGUUAUUAGGGAAGAACUAAUUUGUAAGUAACUAUGCACGUCUUGACGGUACCUAAUCAGAAAGCCACGGCUAACUACGUG
rnacentral:rRNA from 1 species